CUGGGACUGCUUUUUCCACCUUGUUAGUAUACUAAGCAGACGAAAAUGACAAAUACGGAUGCCUUAGACCAAGUUAUCGGCCAGACAUACUGCAGCUUCAACUGUGCAGUAUUGGAAUUCUGACUCCAAAUGUGAUAGGAAAGGUGAAGAGACAAUUCCUGGCCUGAAGCACUCACACCCAACAAUCUUUUAGAACGUCAAGGUGCUACCUCAUCAGCAUCACAAUGAGCCAGCUGCCAGCCUUGCUAUGACAAAAGCGGUAAUGGCAGCAGGCUGGGGGUGCAGCCUGCGGGGGGAGGGGGGGUGCUCCCGGCUCUGUGCACGGUUCACAGGAAACAGACGUCCGUACAGACGUGGAUCCACAGGUGAAAUGGGUAAAAACAGUGCUGGACUCCCAGUGCCACAACGCCACGCGCUGCUGUGGUCACGGAGGUGUGGACAACUGUGGGGGAGGACCGUUUAUCAACAUGUAUGAAGAAGGCAAAAAAAAAAAAAAAUAAGAACGAACGGCCUGAAGAAGAUAAGCCAGGCCUGGGGGCAUCCGGAUGCAGAUCCAGCACCCAGAGGCAGCGCCGGGAGAAGAGGCUUGAAAUAAUUUUGAAUCAAAAAGAAAAGAACAAAAAGUAAAAAGUAAGAAAGACUGAUUUAUUUCAAACAUCAGAUCCUGCCGUCUGGGAUUAGACAUCACAGAUUUAUAUUCAUCACAGUUCAGUUGAAGAGAACCAUCAGCAACCCACAAAAGCAGUUGAGUCUCUGCUAAAAGGCAUCGUUUUCCUCAAGCAGUCCAGACCCUUCCUUUGUUUCUCUAUUGUACAAGUGCUGCUGUCUGAGGGAUCCCAGGCAGAAGCAGCACAUUAAUGAAUCUAUGUUUGCUAUAUUUA